rnacentral:siRNA from 1 species
GGAGGACCGAGUGCCGCUCACG